rnacentral:rRNA from 1 species
UACGUAGGGGGCAAGCGUUGUCCGGAAUCAUUGGGCGUAAAGCGCGUGUAGGCGGCUUGGUAAGUCUGCUCUGAAAGCCCGGGGCUCAACCCCGGGAGGCGGGUGGAUACUGUCAAGCUCGAGUCCGGAAGAGGAGUGUGGAAUUCCUGGUGUAGCGGUGAAAUGCGCAGAUAUCAGGAGGAACACCAAUGCGAAGGCAGCACUCUGGGAGCGUGACUGACGCUGAGACGCGAAAGCGUGGGGAGCAAACAGG